GCUCUUGUACCUUAGUUGGUUAGAGCACUCGUUUAGUAAGCGGGAGGUCUUGAGUUCAACUCUCUGCAAGAGCA
rnacentral:tRNA from 1 species